UACGAAGGGGGCUAGCGUUGUUCGGAAUUACUGGGCGUAAAGCGCACGUAGGCGGACUACUAAGUCAGGGGUGAAAUCCCGGGGCUCAACCCCGGAACUGCCUUUGAUACUGAUAGUCUCGAGUCCGGAAGAGGUGAGUGGAAUUCCGAGUGUAGAGGUGAAAAUUCGUAGAUAUUCGGAGGAACACCAGUGGCGAAGGCGGCUCACUGGGUCCGGUACUGACGCUGAGGUGCGAAAGCGUGGGGAGCAAACAGGG
rnacentral:rRNA from 1 species